rnacentral:misc_RNA from 1 species
UGCAGAAUCAAAAGUGGCUCUAGUUUAUGGUCAGAUUGAAAUAUUCUCAACUAAAAGCAAGGCAUGCCUAAGAUAUCUAUUAGUUGAUUAAUGAAGGAAGGUAACUCUAGAACAACAUAAAUAUCAGAUGUUAAAGUGGCAACAAAAGUAGGAGGAACAAAAUCACGUUUGAUAAUAUAUUAGGAAGUUUUUGUAUAGUGCUUUAAACAUUUAUUGCAGAAAUUGGGCCCAGGACUCACAUCCAUAGUCCAUACCCACAGAUGCACACGCAAAAAUGUAAGCAUAACAAGCAGGCAAAAGACAUAUGUUG